UCUGUGCACUUCUCCUGAGGAACAGAAUGCUCCGUUGUAGGCUACAUGCAUGUUCUACAUGAUUCAUUACUAUCAAAAGGUUCUGUAAGAGAGGUUUAACCAAAGAGGCACAACGGAGCCUGAAUGUGUGCCACCCUACAUCACAGACUGAAUAAAAACAUAAAUGGGAGAAAGCAAACUGAGAACCAGAAUCUCUGUCUCCUGACUACAGAGGCCAUGUGACCAGCCAAAUCCUGCUGCAGCCACGCUUUCCCACCAGGAUGGAUGGAACAGCCUCAAACCACAUGGAUCCAAACAAACUCUUCCUUCAAGCGGCUUUUCGUCAUGAGUGUGUCAUAAUGAUGAUGAAGUCGCCGAAUCUUUUCUCCCUCACCCUCCACCCUUUCCUCGCUUCCUUUCCUGUCUCUGUCCUUUCCCUCUUUCUCCCCCUCCCUCUUCCCCCCUCCCUCUUUCCUUGCCUGCUUCCUUUUUUCUUUCCUCUCUUCCUUUCCCGGCAGUUGAAAGAUAAUGUGUGGAUUUCCAAAGGAACCAGGCUCAGCUACCUAGUAGGAUGCUAUUUCUAAGCAAAGUCCCUUGAGCAUGUGAAAUGCAGCCUCCCAGAGGGAUCCAGGCUGCUCUAUCCAGUAGCUGUUUCCCUGGCUUCCCCUUUCCAGAGAGGAAAUGGCAGGCGUGUUUCUGCUUUGCUCAGGACCAGGGAUUAUGGAGUUUAAACUCUCUCCUCCAAGCCACAUUCAAGUUUUUGACUUAAAAGGGAAAUGUUUCAUUUUCGGCCAAAUGUAUCCCCCUCUAUCCCCCUCGCUGGAAGGAGAACAAAGCAAUUCAAAUCAGAAAACACAGGGAACUCCCUGCACACUGUCCACAGGGACCAGGCUCCCAACUGGAUCCCACGGAAUUUGAUUGAAGUGCAACUGAACCCUC